AUGCUCAUCCCGGCAGCUCUGGCAGGAGUCAUAAACAAGGACAAUGUUGAUGCCAUCAAAGCAAAGUACAUCAUCGAAGCUGCUAACCACCCAACAGACCCCAAGGCCGAAGAGAUUCUGGCAAAGAAGGGCGUGCUGAUCCUACCGGACAUACUGGCCAACUCCGGCAGAGUGAUGGUGAGCUACUUCGAGUGGGUGCAGAAUCUCCAGGGGUUCAUGUGGGACGAGGAGAAGGUGAAUCGGGAGCUCAAGACGUACAUGACCCGCGCCUCAAACAUGUUCUGA
rnacentral:rRNA from 1 species